rnacentral:rRNA from 1 species
AGGUCAAGCUAAUAAGGGCGCACGGUGGAUGCCCUGGCAUUAGGAGCUGAAGAAGGACGUGAUAAGCUGCGAUAAGCUGCGGGUAGCCGCAAAUAGGCUGUGAUCCGCAGAUUUCCGAAUGGGGGAACCCACAUAGCUAACGCUAUGUAUCAUAUACUGAAUCAAUAGGUAUAUGAAGGCACACCUGGGGAACUGAAACAUCUAAGUACCCAGAGGAAAAGAAAGAAUAAUCGAUUUCCUAAGUAGCGGCGAGCGAAAGGGAAGGAGCCCAAACCAAUUCCUUCGGGGAUUGGGGUUGAGGAGGCAGCAUAAAGGGAGCAGAGGUUUAAUCGAAGAGGUCUGGAAAGGCCCGCCACAGAAGGUAACAGCCCUGUAGGUGAAAAGCUAAAGCUUUCGCUGUCAUCCAGAGUACCACGGGACACGUGAAACCCUGUGGGAAGCAGGGAGGACCACCUCCCAAGGCUAAAUACUACCUAAUGACCGAUAGCGCAUAGUACCGUGAGGGAAAGGUGAAAAGAACCCCGGGAGGGGAGUGAAAUAGAACCUGAAACCGUGUGCCUACAAGCAGUCGGAGCACGUUAAAGUGUGACGGCGUGCUUUUUGUAGAACGAGCCAGCGAGUUACGGUAUGCAGCGAGGUUAAGGACUUAAGGUCCGGAGCCGUAGGGAAACCGAGUCUGAAUAGGGCGUAAAGUUGUAUGCUGUAGACCCGAAACCGGGUGACCUAUCCAUGGACAGGGUGAAGGUGAGGUAAAACUUACUGGAGGCCCGAACCACGUUGGUGUUGAAAAACCAUGGGAUGAGCUGUGGAUAGCGGAGAAAUUCCAAUCGAACUCGGAGAUAGCUGGUUCUCCCCGAAAUAGCUUUAGGGCUAGCCUUAAGGUAAGAUAUACGGAGGUAGAGCACUGAAUGGGCUAGGGGCCAUCAAGGUUACCGAACCCUAUCAAACUCCGAAUGCCGUAAUAUUAUCCUUAGGAGUCAGACUACGAGUGAUAAGAUCCGUAGUCAAGAGGGAAACAGCCCAGACCAUCAGCUAAGGUCCCAAAGUGCAUGUUAAGUGGAAAAGGAUGUGGGAUCUCUAAGACAACCAGGAUGUUGGCUUAGAAGCAGCCAUUCAUUCAAAGAGUGCGUAAUAGCUCACUGGUCGAGAGGUUCUGCGCCGAAGAUGUCCGGGGCUCAAACAUGCCACCGAAGCUAUGGAUCCGCAAGGAUGGUAGGGGAGCGUUGUAUGCGGAGCGAAGCAUAACCGAAAGGAUAUGUGGACUGCAUACAAGUGAGAAUGCUGGCAUAAGUAGCGAGAAAUAGGUGAGAAUCCUAUUCGUCGAAAGCCUAAGGUUUCCUCAGGAAGGUUCGUCCGCUGAGGGUUAGUCGGGACCUAAGCCGAGGCCGAAAGGCGUAGGUGAUGGACAAUCGGUUGAUAUUCCGAUACCACCAUAGACCGUUAUUAGAGAUGGGGUGACGCAGGAGGAUAGGCUGAGCGCAUUUUUGGCUAAGUGCGUCCAAGGGCUGAGUCAGACUUUCAAGGCAAAUCCGGGAAGUUAAUGACAGGGCUUGAUGGGGAGCCCGUAAGGGUGAAGCAGCUGAUUUCACACUGCCAAGAAAAGCCUCUAUCGAGGGAUGUGGUGCCCGUACCGCAAACCGACACAGGUAGGUGAGGAGAGAAUCCUAAGACGAGCGAGAGAACCCUUGUUAAGGAACUCGGCAAAUUGACCCCGUAACUUCGGGAGAAGGGGUGCUCUAGAGAUAGAGCCGCAGAGAAUAGGCCCAGGCAACUGUUUAGCAAAAACACAGGUCUCUGCUAAAUCGCAAGAUGAUGUAUAGGGGCUGACGCCUGCCCGGUGCUGGAAGGUUAAGGGGAAAGGUUAGGACCCACCCACAAAAACUUUGUUUUUGUGGGGACCCGGGUGCGAAGCUUUGAACCGAAGCCCCAGUAAACGGCGGCCGUAACUAUAACGGUCCUAAGGUAGCGAAAUUCCUUGUCGGGUAAGUUCCGACCCGCACGAAUGGCGUAAUGACCUGGGCACUGUCUCAACAAGGGACUCGGCGAAAUUGUAGUACCGGUGAAGAUGCCGGUUACCCGCGAUUGGACGGAAAGACCCCGUAGAGCUUUACUGUAGCUUAGCAUUGAGUUUCGGUAUUGUCUGUACAGGAUAGGUGGGAGACAGAGAAGGCAGGGCGUCAGCUUUGCUGGAGUCGACCUUGGGAUACCACCCUGAUGAUACUGAAGCUCUAACCGGAGGCUUUGAAUCAAGUCACGGGACAUUGUUAGGUGGGCAGUUUGACUGGGGCGGUCGCCUCCUAAAGAGUAACGGAGGUGCCCAAAGGUUCCCUCAGUGCGGUUGGAAAUCGCGCGGAGAGUGCAAAGGCAGAAGGGAGCUUCACUGUGAGAGAGACAUCUCGAGCAGGGACGAAAGUCGGGCUUAGUGAUCCGGUGGUACCGAGUGGAAGGGCCAUCGCUCAACGGAUAAAAGCUACCUCGGGGAUAACAGGCUGAUCUCCCCCAAGAGUCCACAUCGACGGGGAGGUUUGGCACCUCGAUGUCGGCUCGUCGCAUCCUGGGGCUGAAGUAGGUCCCAAGGGUUGGGCUGUUCGCCCAUUAAAGCGGCACGCGAGCUGGGUUCAGAACGUCGUGAGACAGUUCGGUCCCUAUCCGUCGCGGGCGUAGGAAAUUUGAGAGGAGCUGUCCUUAGUACGAGAGGACCGGGAUGGACGAACCUCUGGUGCACCAGUUGUUCCACCAGGAGCACAGCUGGGUAGCCAUGUUCGGAAGGGAUAAGCGCUGAAGGCAUCUAAGCGCGAAGCCCACCUCAAGAUGAGAUUUCCCACCGUAAGGGUAAGACCCCUUGAAGAACACAAGGUUGAUAGGCCAAAGGUGUAAGCGCCGUGAGGCGUUCAGCUGAUUGGUACUAAUAGGUCGAGGGCUUGAUCAAU